AGAGUUUGAUCCUGGCUCAGGAUGAACGCUGGCGGUCUGCUUAACACAUGCAAGUCGAACGCAACCUUCGGGUUGAGUGGCGGACGGGUGAGUAACGCGUGAGAAUCUGCCUUAGGGUCGGGGACAACCACUGGAAACGGUGGCUAAUACCGGAUAAGCCGAUUGGUGAAAGAUUUAUUGCCCGAAGAGGAGCUCGCGUCUGAUUAGCUAGUUGGUGAGGUAAGAGCUCACCAAGGCAGCGAUCAGUAGCUGGUCUGAGAGGACGAUCAGCCACACUGGGACUGAGACACGGCCCAGACUCCUACGGGAGGCAGCAGUGGGGAAUUUUCCGCAAUGGGCGAAAGCCUGACGGAGCAAGACCGCGUGAGGGAGGAAGGCUCUUGGGUUGUAAACCUCUUUUCUCAGGGAAGAAGCUCUGACGGUACCUGAGGAAUCAGCCUCGGCUAACUCCGUGCCAGCAGCCGCGGUAAUACGGAGGAGGCAAGCGUUAUCCGGAAUUAUUGGGCGUAAAGCGUCCGCAGGUGGCGAUUCAAGUCUGCUGUCAAAGCACGGGGCUUAACUCCGUUAAGGCAGUGGAAACUGAAUAGCUAGAGUGCCGUAGGGGUAGAGGGAAUUCCCGGUGUAGCGGUGAAAUGCGUAGAGAUCGGGAAGAACAUCGGUGGCGAAAGCGCUCUACUGGACGGCAACUGAC
rnacentral:rRNA from 1 species